rnacentral:lncRNA from 1 species
CCCGCACUUGGCAAGCAGCGCCGCUACUUCUGUCUUUUUUUUAGGAAGGAUUGAGUCAUCGGGCUCCAAUGCGUGGGGAUGUUUACCGCCGUUUAUCCGGGAUAGAGACUCCAUCGUGCUAACUGACAGUAUCCUUUUAUUCACCGCCUCCGAAUUUGCAAAGAGGAGGAAGGAGGGACUUCUUGGCUUCUCCCAGCAUAGCCCCAGGUACCUGCUCUUGAACGCACUUUGUUGUUCCAUUUUCUGUCCUUUCAGUUAGUCAAGUUUC